GCCCUCUGUUGUUGCCUCCAGAUCGGAAAAAUCAGGCAUAUUCACAGAUGGGCCCUGCCUGAAAUCCAGGAGCGGUCUAAUUACAGAGCUACGGCUCUCGGUUUUCUCUGUUACCCUAAAUCCUGGCAUAAACCAUACUAUACCCCUCACGGCUCAUCUCUGGGCUCAAGAUGAAAAAUAACACCUCCUGAAUGAAUGAAUAAACCCGUCAUGGUCACUCCCCUGGUCCACAAGGAGGAGCUGGGCCCUUAGGGGAUGUUUCCAUGGACUGAUCAACACUGGGGAAGCUUUUCAGAAAGCUGCAGUCAAGAGUUCUGGCCGUUCUAAAGAUGCCCCUGGGUCACUUACCUGUCUUUGGACAAGAAGAGACUCCAGCAGUGAUUUCAAGGCAAGGAAAUAUGGAAAGGGAGCAACGUUGAAAAUUUCCGGAGAGUGUAGCCGAUGACACUUCUGUCAGCCCCCCCCGUGGGGCCUACCCGGAGCUGUCACCAGGAAAAAUAGUGGCAGACACCGCUCUAAGUAUCUAGAGUUUGUCUGUGUUCUGCUGUUUAACUCACUGUAAGUGAGCCCCCCUGAACAUCCGCUUAGCUGCUUCGGAAAGCGGGUGGGUCACACCUAAUGAUAACCAUGACUCUCACCGUAGCCUACGCCAAUUCGAUGUUUGAAUCACAUCGUUCAAGUUCAUGUUCAUCAGCCAAAGGGUUACAAUGAAAACAGUCAUGAUUACAAAUAGUCGUUUGUACAGUCAGUGGUAACUGCACAAGAUACAUGUGACAAACAACAUCUCUGUGAAUAACACGUACACAAGAACACAAACACAUCCACAAACGUGAGGCUGAAAUCCACAUGCUAGCUCCUUCUGGGAGAAGGAGACGCAAACUGUGACUUUUCUUUAUAUUUACACACCGGUUCCAAAGCUAAUGGUUAAUAUGUUUGCCUCGUUCUAAGAUUUAGAAGUAUAAGCUAUUAUAUAUCAUGCAUAGGAAAUUGAUAAAUUACAUUAUGUGCCAAAAAGCUACAUAUUUCUAUGUAGACACCUCUGUUUCAAACGGAAAUGUGUAACUGAACAAAUAAUUCUUCACCAGAAUGGAAGUUAACGCAUAGGCAAGAGCAGUUAACUUGCUAAGUCUUUCCUCCGUGCUAAGAGUAUUAGUCUUUGUUUCCUGCGUCCUUAGUAUACUUCCUUCCUAGAAUAUUGAGGGGAGGUCAGUCUGAAUUAGAAGUCUGAUACAGAGCUUUUAAAACUUUCCUUCAAAUACAUAAAGUCCCAUACCGCCAAUAUUAAAUUAGGCCUUGUCGAGCCCAGGCCAGUACAGUUUUGCCUUUUACUACUAACUUAAAAUGAUUUUUAAUUCAGGGGCGCCUGGGUGGCUCAGUCAGUUAAGCAUCCGACUUCAG